rnacentral:rRNA from 1 species
GUUUAUGGCCAUACCAUCUAGAAAGUGCCCAAUCUUGUCUGAUCUCAGGAGCUAAGCAGGUUUGGGCUUGGUUAGUAUUGGAUGGGAGACCAUCUGGGAAUACUGGGUGCUAUAGACA